rnacentral:rRNA from 1 species
UACCCUGAGCGGCGGAUCACUCGGCUCGUAGGUUCGAUGAAAGACGCAGCAAACUGCGCGUUCGCCAUGUAAACUGCAGACAC